UACGUAGGGUGCGAGCGUUAAUCGGAAUUACUGGGCGUAAGGCGUGCGCAGGUGGCUUCGCAAGUCAGACGUGAAAUCCCCGGGCUUAACCUGGGAAUGGCGUUUGAAACUACGGAGCUGGAGUGUGGCAGAGGGAGGUAGAAUUCCACGUGUAGCGGUGAAAUGCGUAGAUAUGUGGAGGAAUACCGAUGGCGAAGGCAGCCUCCUGGGCCAACACUGACGCUCAUGCACGAAAGCGUGGGGAGCAAACAGG
rnacentral:rRNA from 1 species